AUCCACAUCAAUAAAUGACCAGAAACUUGUUUGAACUGGAAAAAUAACUUUCUGAUCAAUAGUUUCUCCAUAUUUCUUUCCUGGAAUGAAUUUAGUAAUUGUUCUGCUCUCUAGUACUAAUCAAAACAGCAAGAAGAAAAAUGCUGCUUAAAAUAUGGUGGUUUAUAUAACUUACUUUACCCUAUGUGUUAAAUCAUUGCUUUUAAAGGUACUUGGAUAUGAAUUUCAUAUUUCCCAAUUUUAGAAAGGUUCUUUCUAUAAUGCUCCUCUCAAAAGUAUCACCCAAAAGGGUUACAUGGAUUGGAUCCAGACUUGAUGAAUAGAAAAAUUCAUUCUAUUUACUAAACGAACCAGCAUUGAAUGGAGGGCUUCUGUUAAAGAAAUUAGGUAUUUCCCAUUCUGUUUCUGAUAAUUCAACAGAUAUUCAUGGAAUUAUUUUGGUAGCGAAAAUAGCAAUCUCUACAAAUGAAAAUCAUCAUAGCCCAGGUCUGCUGGGACUGCCAGAAUCUAGAGAAAACAAGAUUAGUUUAGGCUCCAUUUUGAACUAUUAUAUGUGUAGUUUUAUAUUUAUAUUUAUGUACCAGGCAAUGGAGCAUGACAUUUUUCUCUUACACCAAUGUAUUUCAUUUUCCAAUAAUCUCAAAUUAGGAUAUAGCACAAUACAAAAAUCACAAUAUGCCUGUACCCGUCAUACAAGAAAAUUUAAAAUAAAAACAAAUAAUGUGAAAGAACUCUGCCUCAUAACCUGGUGAUUUUGUCAACCAGACAUGCAGUAGCAGUUUUAAGUGCUAUCAUAAUCCAACAUGAAAACCCAGACAUGUUCUCAAGUCUGAAAUCUCACCAAAAUUAGAUUGUGAAAUUUUUGUGACCUGA